rnacentral:rRNA from 1 species
UACGUAGGGUGCAAGCGUUAAUCGGAAUUACUGGGCGUAAAGCGUGCGCAGGCGGUUUUGUAAGUUUGUCGUGAAAUCCCCGGGCUCAACCUGGGAAUUGCGAUGGAGACUGCAAGGCUAGAAUCUGGCAGAGGGGGGUAGAAUUCCACGUGUAGCAGUGAAAUGCGUAGAGAUGUGGAGGAACACCGAUGGCGAAGGCAGCCCCCUGGGUCAAGAUUGACGCUCAUGCACGAAAGCGUGGGGAGCAAACGAGG